rnacentral:misc_RNA from 1 species
GUUUUUUCAAGUUUGUGUGCAAGGUGACCAAAAAUAAAUGGCCACAGGCGUGUAAACGUUUGCAAAGCAUGACGGGAGUUGUUCAAGGGCCCUGCGUUGCCCGGAGGCAAGCUUGAAUGCGGCCGGGCCAGCCGAUACGGUUCUUUGAUACGACAGGUGGGAUGUAAAAGAGGCGCGCGAGCUUUGGGGGCCCCAACGCGCUCUUUGUGUUUGUAAAUGAUCCAUCCGCAGGUUCACCUACGGAUA